rnacentral:pre_miRNA from 1 species
UAGGUACUCCCUCCGUUCAAAAAUAUUUGCCAUCAAAAUGGAUAAAAAAAGAUGUAUCUAGAACUAAAAUACAUCUAGAUACAUCCCCUUUUAUCCAUUUUGAUGACAAGUAUUUUCGGACGGAUGGAGUACAUA